rnacentral:rRNA from 1 species
ACGGAAGGCAGCAGUGAGGAAUAUUGGUCAAUGGGCGGAAGCCCGAACCAGCCAAGUCGCGUGAAGGAUGAAGGUAUUAUGUAUUGUAAACUUCUUUAGCAGCAGAGUAAUAAGGGGGUCGUGACCCCCGAUGCAAGUAUGCUGAAAAUAAGGAUCGGCUAACUCCGUGCCAGCAGCCGCGGUAAUACGGAGGAUCCGAGCGUUAUCCGGAUUUAUUGGGUUUAAAGGGUGCGCAGGCGGUUUUUUAAGUCAGUGGUUAAAUCGUGAGGCUCAACCUCAUCACGCCAUUGAUACUGGAAGACUUGAUUGCGGUUGAGGUUGGCGGAAUUCGUCGUGUAGCGGUGAAAUGCAUAGAUAUGACGAAGAACACCGAUUGCGUAGGCAGCUGACCAAGCCGUAAAUGACGCUCAUGCACGAAAGUGCGGGGAUCGAACAGGAUUAGAUACCCUGGUA